rnacentral:rRNA from 1 species
CCUACGGGAGGCAGCAGUGAGGAAUAUUGGUCAAUGGACGAGAGUCUGAACCAGCCAAGUAGCGUGAAGGAUGACUGCUCUAUGGGUUGUAAACUUCUUUUAUAUGGGAAUAAAACAGGGUAUGCAUACCCUUUUGUAUGUACCAUAUGAAUAAGCAUCGGCUAACUCCGUGCCAGCAGCCGCGGUAAUACGGAGGAUCCGAGCGUUAUCCGGAUUUAUUGGGUUUAAAGGGAGCGUAGGUGGAUUGUUAAGUCAGUGGUGAAAGUUUGCGGCUCAACCGUAAAAUUGCAGUUGAAACUGGCAGUCUUGAGUACAGUAGAGGUAGGCGGAAUUCGUGGUGUAGCGGUGAAAUGCAUAGAUAUCACGAAGAACUCCGAUUGCGAAGGCAGCUCACUGGACUGCAACUGACACUGAUGCUCGAAAGUGUGGGUAUCAAACAGGAUUAGAUACCCCAGUAGUC